ACUCCAAUUAGACCCCAGCCAGGAACUUACAUAUGUUGCAGUUGUGGCCCUAAAAUGCAAAAAAAAAAAAAAAAAAAAAAAAGAAUUUUUUACUUAGGUUCUCUUCUAGCAGUGUUAUUGUGUCAUAUUUUACAUGUAAAUCUUUAAGCCUAAGUUCCCAAUGUGGCUCAGUGGUUAACAAACCCAACCAGUAUCCACAAGGACACAGGUUUGAUUCCUGGCCUCACUUAGCGGGUUAAAGAUCCAGCAUUGCUGUCAGCUGUGGUGUAGGUAACAGAUGCAGCUCAGAUCCUGCAUUACUGUGGCUGUGGAAUAGGCUGGCAGCCAUAGCUCCAAUCAGACCCCUAGCCUGGGAACCUCCAUAUGCCGUGGGCAUGGCCCUAAAAAGACAAAAAGACAAUAGAUAAAUAAAUAAAUAAAUCUUUAAGCCAUUCUGAGUAUUUUUGCGCAUGGUGAGAGGGUGUGUUCUAACUUCAUUGAUUUACAUGCAACUGUCCAACUUUCCCAGCAGCACUUGCUACAGAGACUGUCUUUUUUCCAUUUUAUGUUCUUGCCUCCUUUGCUGAAGAUGAAUUGACCUAACUUGUGUGGGUUUAUUUCUGGGCUUUCUAUUCUGUUCCACUGAUCUGUAUGUCUGUUUUUGUGCCAAUACCAUCCUGUUUUGAAUACUGUUGCUUUGUAGUAUUGUCUGAAGUCUGGGAGGAUUUUGUCUCCAGCUUUGUUCUUUUUCUUCAGGGUUGCUUCGGCAAUUCAACGUCUUUCAUGGUUCCAUAAAAAUUUCAGGAUUAUUUGUUCUAGUUCUGUGAAAGAUGCCAUGGGUAAUUUGAUAAGGAUCUCACUAAAUCUGUAGAUUUCUUUGGAUAGUAUGGCCAUUUAAACAAUAUUAAUUCUUCCAAUCCCAGAGCAUGGGAUAUCUUUCCAUUUCUUUGUAUCAUCUUCAAUUUCCUUUAUUUAUAUUUUAUAGGUCUCAGCAUAUAAAUCUUUCACCUCCUUGGUCAGGUUUAUUCCUGAGUAUUUUAUUUUUUAGGGUUGAAAUUUUAAAAGAUUUUGUUUUUAUUUUUGCAGUAUGUAGAAAUUCCUGGGCCAGGAAUUAAGCCCAUGCCACAGCAGUGACCCAGGCUACUUCAGUGACAAAGCUGGAUCCUUAAUCCCCUGUGUCACAAGAGAACUCUGGAAGCAUUGUUUUUCACACUCCCUUUUUGAUAAUUCAUUGUUAGUGUAAAGAAAUCUGACAGAUUCCUGUAUGUUAAUCUUGUAUCCUGUACCUUGCUGAAUUCAUUUAUAAGCUGUGGUCAUUUUUCUGUGGAGUUUUAAAGGUUUUCUAUUUAUAGUAUCAAGUUAUCUGCAUAAAAUGAAAAUUUAUCUCUUCCUUUCCAAUUUGAAUAACUUUCAUUUCUUUUUCUUGUCUGAUUGCUGUUGCUAGGAUUUCCAAUACUAUGUUGAAUAGAAGAAGUGACAGUGGGUAUCCUUGCCUUGUUCUGAACUUUAGUGGNAGGAAGUGACAGUGGCUUUUCAUGAUUGAGUAUUAUAUUGUCAUAGAUAGCUUUUAUUAUGUCGAGAUAUGCUCCCUCUAUACUCACUUUGCAUAAGAGUUUUUAUCAUGAAUGAAUGUUGAAUUUUGUCAAAUGCUUUUUCUGCAUCUAUUGAGAUGAUCAUGUGGUUUUUGACAUAGGACUUUCAACUCGAAGGCAAAUUCACUCAAAUUUUCUUCCGUGAAGUACAAAAUAAAAUGAUCAACUGCAGUACCUAAGACCACAAAGCUCACCUGAGGGAAUUUUAAAAGUAUAUAAAAGUCUAUAAAGGGAAUAAAGCCUUUAAGCUGCUUACAAUCUAUUUAAGGGGGAAAUUAAACGAUUAUGAAAAAUCUAGGCAAGCAUUUAUUUCAAAGUAAGGUGUGGAUACAUCUGUAGCAACAAGGAACAGAAUUUCUGGAUGGAUAGUAUAGGAGGGAAAGAACACUUUGUAAAGGUAGAGGCCUUUGAGUAAGAAUGGCUUCCUGGAGGUGAUCGGGGAGUGGGCCAUGAAGAAGUUACAAACCUGGAUAGGUGCAGAAGAGUAAGAAAGGUGUUCUAACAAAGAAAAACCAUGGGACUAAAACAUGGAGGAACCACCCCAAUUUCACAGCAUUAUAAAGACUAACAAGACACACAUUGGUUGUCUGAGGUGCAUAUUGCAUGAAUACCUUCAAUGCUCACCUAAGGAGUUUGAAGUUGAUCUGACUAGUACCAAGGAGUUGCCAUAGAUCCCAGAGCACCUCCUGUGUGUCUUGUAACAGCUAAAUGGACGGAAUAAGGGAAAGCAACUAGCAUGGUGGUAGCUGGCAGGUAAUGCACAGUGAUUGUUAGUGUGUGGCAGUGUUAUUCCUGAAUGAGGGUGAGACAUUAAGACCUCGAUGCUCAGGAACAGUGAUCUAUGCAAGAUGAACCCAAGGCAGGGAGAACUGUGGCUGGUGUGGCAAUCUGGCCACAGGAUGACUAGCAUGACUUACCACUGACAAUGCAGACCAUAUGUUACUCGAUUUCAAAAAUGCUGCCAUCUGUCCCUAUAGCAGGCUACGGAUCUUUCCCGCCUGUAUGAUGCUGGCUAGGGACCUUCUGGACAAUAUAUCCUACGAUAAAAUGUAGUUCGCAUGUGUUUCUUGAGAUUACAGUGUGGUUUUAGAAACAGGCAGAUGUGGCAGACAGGAAAAUGGGGAAAAGAGCGAGGCCAUUGAUUGGUCUUUUAUUCUAGGGCUUCGUUAACAAGCUUCUGGAGAGCACUGCAAUUCUUCAUGGUGUGCCAUUAAGUGUGUGCGGAAAACGUUUCAGAGUUUAAAAGCGGAUGGUUGCUUUUGCAAUCCUAAUGGAAAAUACUGAAAAUUUUAUUUCUACAUCUCCUGAGAGCACUAGUGGUCUGGCAGCACAGCAAGGUUAAUGACCAUCAUGCUCGCCUCCUCUGAGCUCUCAAAUUCUUUUCUAUCCGUUCAUCAACUUGGCAUCGAUCAAAGAAGGGCUUCAAUGCACUGUGAUUUGAUGGGAGCGGAAGGUGUGGACAAUAUGCUUGACGCCAGCCAGUGUGCCUAUGAUUUUUUUACUUUAAACAAUAUUGAUGAACAAAGCUGUUUACAAGCUUCAUCUUAAUUUUGGAAAGUAGGGGACACCUAAGUGGAUUGCUUUGUUUUGUUGUUGUUGAAUUGUCUCCAGUUUGGGCUCAUUAUGAGCUCAUUAGUAAUUUUUGUCAACCACUUUGAGGUAUAAUUUAGGUUUUUUAAACUAUGUUUUAAAGUACACUCCAUGGGAGUUCCCGUUGUGGCAUAGUGGUUAACGAGUCUGACUAGGAACCAUGAGGUUGUGGGUUCGAUCCCUGGCCUUGCUCAGUGGGUUAAGGAUCUGGCAUUGCCGUGAGCUGUGGUGUAGAUUGCAGAUGCAGCUCAGAUCCCAUGUUGCUGUGGCUCUGGUGUAGGCCAGUGGCUACAGCUCCGAUUCGACCCCUAGCCUGGGAACCUCCAUGUGCUGUAGGAGCAGCCCUAGAAAAGGCAAAAAGACAAAAAAUAAAUAGAUAAAUAAAAUAAAGUACACUCCAUGUGCACAACUCACUUGAAGCAUACAAUUCAGUACAUUUGAGCAUUUGACAUAUACCCCUGAAAACAAAACAAUAAACAGUGAUUAAAAAUGACUAUUAUCUGGAAAAGAAUAUAUCACUUUGCUAUACCUGAAAUUAACCCAAUACUCUAAAUCAAUUGUACAUCAAUAAAAAAUAAAGUUUAAAAGAAAGAAAAUGAUUAUUUCCUUCACUCAUCAAAAUAUUCCCCAGUAUACUUCACAGUUUAUCCUUCCUUCUGCCCUCAGUCCUAGGCUACAUACUAGUUUACAGUCUUGAAAAAUCUUACGUAAAUGGAAUCACACAAUCUAGUCCCCGCUGAGUCUUGCUCCUUUCACCAAAUAUAGUGAGGUGUGUGUUUGAUCCCUGAUCCAGCACAAUGGGUUAAAUGAUCUGGCACUGCCACAGGGGCAGUGUAGGUCGUAGCUACAGCUCCUAUUCAACCCCUGUCUCAGGAAUUUCAUUUUCCUGUUACUCCAGCUCACAGGGAAAUCUGUCAUAAAUUCUGUAUUAUGCAUUUGAUCCAUCAUCAAAUACUAUUUAUACAUCUUCUAUGUUACUGCCUUAUUUCAUUACUAAAGUUUUGUCACCUAACCUUUUAAAUGUCCAUAGAAGCCUCCUAAACUAGAACAGAAACUCCAAAUGGGCAGGGGUUUGUUUUUUAUUCCAUCUGAUGCUGGCUCCAAUACUCUAGUCAGGGCAAAUGUUUCACUGAUAUGAGAAAAAGAUAUUUAUUCAUUUUGUUCUGACAUUAUUCUCACCUCAAACCAAUUCAUUUAAACACCUCUUUCUUCCUGAAAUUAAGACUAUGCACAUGGGAGGGGAAAAGUAUGCCCUUAAUUAACAAAAAAAUGAAAAUGGGCAAAUCUAUGUCAGUCUAAUUUAAAAUUUUAUUUUAUAUAUUUUUUACAAAACCUAGGAGCUUCUAUCUUACACACAAACAUAUACACACACGUACACAAAUACCUAUGCAUAAUUCAAAACUAUGUCUUGAUCAAUGACUACGUGAGAAACAUGCUGAUUCCUUUAAACCACUGUUCACUCUUGAGCUGAAGUGGGAACAUUCUUCCAAAAGGUGGCUGCUGGGUGCGUUUUACAAUCCUGAUGGACACGUGAAAAAACAGGCCAAAUAGAAACCUUGCUAUAAGGCCAGUUUGGGACUGCUCAUGAGUCAUUAAACUGAAACUUCUUGAAAUCAGAAGUUCAACAGAGGUUAUUGGUACCAACCACACCCCACGUUCCUACUUCCAGCUUUGCAGAAGAGAAAGUUGGACCUUGGAGACCUAACCCAGCUAAAUGCAGCCAAAACAGGUUAGAAGCUGGGGCUUCACCUGUUUCUCUUC
rnacentral:lncRNA from 1 species